rnacentral:rRNA from 1 species
GAUGAACGCUAGCUACAGGCUUAACACAUGCAAGUCGAGGGGUAACGAGAGGAAAGCUUGCUUUCCUUGUCGACGACCGGCGCACGGGUGAGUAACGCGUAUCCAACCUGCCCCCAACUAAGGAAUAACCUUGCGAGAGUAAGACUAAUACCUUAUAAUUUCCUCAGAUGUCAUCUGACGAGGAAUAAAGAUUUAUCGGUUGUGGAUGGGGAUGCGUCUGAUUAGCUUGUUGGCGGGGUAACGGCCCACCAAGGCAACGAUCAGUAGGGGUUCUGAGAGGAAGGUCCCCCACAUUGGAACUGAGACACGGUCCAAACUCCUACGGGAGGCAGCAGUGAGGAAUAUUGGUCAAUGGGCGGAAGCCUGAACCAGCCAAGUAGCGUGCAGGAUGACGGCCCUGUGUGUUGUAAACUGCUUUUAUACAGGAAUAAAGUUAGCCACGUGUGGUUAUUUGUAGGUACUGUAUGAAUAGGGACCGGCUAAUUCCGUGCCAGCCGCCGCGGUAA